rnacentral:snRNA from 13 species
AGCUUUGCACAGUGGCAAUAUUGUAGCCAAUGAGGUUUAUCUGAGGCAUGAUUAUUGCUAAUUGAAAACUUUUCCUGGGUGGU